rfam:Brachypodium distachyon strain Bd21 chromosome 4, whole genome shotgun sequence.
CAGCUACUUCCUCCGUUUCAUAAUUCUUGUCUCCAAUUCGUCCAAAUAUGAAUGUAUCUAUUUUUAAAAAGUGUCUAGAUACAUGUAAUAUUUCGACAAGAAUUAUGAAACGAAGGGAGUACUUU